rnacentral:rRNA from 2 species
GCGCGAAAGCGUUGGGGAGCAAACAGGAUUAGAUACCCUGGUAGUCCACGCCGUAAACGAUGAAUGCUAAGUGUUAGAGGGUUUCCGCCCUUUAGUGCUGCAGCUAACGCAUUAAGCACUCCGCCUGGGGAGUACGGUCGCAAGACUGAAACUCAAAGGAAUUGACGGGGGCCCGCACAAGCGGUGGAGCAUGUGGUUUUAUUCGAAGCAACGCGAAGAACCUUACCAGGUCUUGACAUCCUCUGACAACUCUAGAGAUAGAGCGUUCCCCUUCGGGGGACAGAGUGACAGGUGGUGCAUGGUUGUCGUCAGCUCGUGUCGUGAGAUGUUGGGUUAAGUCCCGCAACGAGCGCAACCCUUGAUCUUAGUUGCCAGCAUUUAGUUGGGCACUCUAAGGUGACUGCCGGUGACAAACCGGAGGAAGGUUGGGAUGACGUCAAAUCAUCAUGCCCCUUAUGACCUGGGCUACACACGUGCUACCAUGGAUGGUACAAAGGGCUGCAAGACCGCGAGGUCAAGCCAAUCCCAUAAAACCAUUCUCAGUUCGGAUUGUAGGCUGCAACUCGCCUACAUGAAGCUGGAAUCGCUAGUAAU